rnacentral:misc_RNA from 1 species
UAUUUUAUUCGAGAACUUAUGGGUGUGCUCUCGCGCCGCACGGAAGUGUGCCACGGUUGCUCUCUCUCUCUGCCACUAUUGUGCUGCACAUUGUUUUUCUCGUUUCGUUCCUGUUCUCGGUUUUUCUGCCACCUCUCCCUCCCUGCUGCUUCUUCUCCCUCUUCUCACAAGCGUUUUUCCUUUUUCGUUUUGCUCUGUGUGCUGCUGUCGUUGAUUUUGUGUGUGUGUGUGUGAUGUACGUUUUCUUUUUCCCGGUCGGCUUUUCACCUCCGCUCCUAACGUUUCACCACCUGACACUCUGCGCGCCCCAUCUCCACCAUGCGGUCUCAUUGUUUUUUUUUUUCCGCCAAGACAAGCACGCACACGCACACGCACCAUCUGUUGUUGUUUUAGUUACUUUGAAUGUACAUAUAUAAUUAUAUAUGUAUUCAAGGCCUCUCGCAACUAUGACGAGCGGGGCGUGACCCCUCGGCGCUUUCUUUUUCUUUUUUCACCUCGACUUGCUCCGCCACUCUCGUUGCCCGGCGUCUCGUUCGUGUUUUUCUCUGCAUUUCCGUGGGUUUUGUUAACGUUUCUCCCCCCCUUCCCCAUUUCGCACAUACACACGCACGACGUUCUUGCCUCUCUUUCUUUUCCCGGUCUCUCAUCUGGUGCUCUCACACCGGAAGCCCGACGUUGCUUCUUUUUUUUGUGCCUGUAGAGGGCCAUAGGAUUCCUCGUACCACUGCUUUCUUGCUCUUUGCUCUUUUUGUUUCUUGCUCUCCCUCUUAGACGUCACUCGGAACGCAGUGUCGGAAAACCCCUCUCACCCCCGUCAAGCUGCUGAGCUUGGAACACAACAGGAGACCCUGCUCGCCCAGUCCCGCACAGGCACCCCCUGCCCGCACUUCGGAUUCCUCCAACGGCGGGCGACUCGUCGUGGCAGCAUGGGAUGCACGUGGCGUGCUGCCCGCUGCUGCGCUUGCGCUUCCUUGCGCACCUCCCCGCCCGGCCAGAGCCUCCGCACCCGCCCAGCGAAGCACACCCCGCCGCACGCAACGACCUUGCACGCGGUCACCUCGACACGCACGUCUCGCACGCGCUGCACGGGCUGCCCCCGUCGAGGGCCUGUCGCUGCCCCCACCACACCCUCUGUGCCCCCACAGAACGGCAGGCUGUGAGCUCCCCGUGUGCGCACGCGCACGCGUGUCGGCGGGACCCCUCCGCCCCACGCGCACAGCAGCGGCCGACCCGUCGCGGCAACAUGCGGGCAAGCCGUCCAGGCACGCACCCCCCGGCAACAGUGCCGUUCUCGAACACGCCCCCUCCCCUCCCCCCCCACUCCACAAAAGCGCGAGCGCCGCCAUGCACAGCUGGCAUGCCGCAUCGCAUGCAGAGGGGCGUGGCGCGAAGAGAGCCCACAGUGCAUGUGCGCAAAACAUGCCGUAUCGGCUCCAGCCGACCAAAUGGGGGCUCGUGAGGCGCAGAUGCCGGAAGCAUCACCAGAGCAGCCUGCACUACAUCAUCCAGUCAUCCGGAGUCCACUGUGGAGGGUGGUGGCCGUCGUCGUCGUAGGGGGGAGGGGGGUCGCCACGCCGUAUGUGACGGGAUGCAGCGGCCUUCAGGAGACUGACGGGGAGAAGCACGGCAUGCAGGCAGACGUUGCAGGGUCUCACAGGGCCCUGGGCUGAGGCUGGGCAGCAUCCUACCUCGGCUCGUGCGGCAUGCGCCUAGGCCACCACCGGCAUGCUACCCCUGCCCCCCACCCUUUGGCAGACGCCACCGCCCUCGAGUAACGCCCGUGAGGGCGGUCCCGCCUACUUUGGUGCGCGCCAUGCGGCCCGGUGGGUGUGGCGCCGAUGGCGCAGGCAUGCCUGCGAGGGGGGAGGGACAGGCUGAGCCCGUUAUAGACGCGUGGCCGGAUGCAGCGGCCGGACGGCUCGUCCUAGAGGACGCGGAUGUGGCCGCCGUGCCGCAGGGGGUGGGUGAGGGGCGGCUGUGUGUGUACGUAUAUAUCGGGGUACGAGUUUGUGGUAGAUGGAGCACAUGGAGGAAAAGGUAAAAUCAUUGAAUGAGCAACGGGGGUAUAGGUGUCGAAUCUCUUAUUUUCUAUUUUUUUUGUAUGUCUUUCGCACGAAACGCCGAUUUUGUUGACAACCGCAUGUGUUGCGUUCGUCGUCCAUCUUUGAUGGUGUCGCAGCGGACCUGCGAGGCCGAUCCACGGGACUGCAGGAAUUUCGUCGGGUUACUGGUGCAUGUCGCACGCGUUUUUUUUUUCUUUCGGUUUCUCUUCGUCAGCCUCGUCUACCCUCUCGCGCUUUGUGUGCCGCACCGUCCAUCGGAUCUCGGUAUGUAGGCUGUAUUGCUGUACACCCCACACCAAGACCUACGUGAAGUGCAAGCAGAUCCGCAUCGCAGCGCUGUAUGUGUUUUUUUUUUUACUCUACCUCGUCAACAUGUCUGCUGUGAUCCGGAAAGCACGGCCCUGCUCUUUAUAUAUAUUUGUGUAGACCUGUUCACCUGAGUGAUGUAGACACCCAUGGUGGCCCGAAAGCAGCGCGGGUUUCCGGCACGCCUCCUCGACAGCGAGAGUCGCAUACGAGAGGAAAAGGAAGCAGAUGUCGUCGGCGCUUUCGGCUCGCUUUAGGCGUUUGCCCAGAGCGAUCUGCGUAUCGGUAUGCCGGCAUGAACGCGUACACACAGCGCGGAGCACGAUUCGGGGAUGGGCAGAGGCAGAGUAGGGCGAGCGGAGAGCAUCGGCGCGUAGGAUGCGAAGUUUUAACAAAACCCGCUUUGAGAUCGUUGAGAAAAGAUUAGCUAAAAAGCUCUACUCUUGAAACUUGCCCCGCCAGACAUUUCCGUUUUUUUUUUUUUCGCGCCCACAUGGGCUUACACAGAGAAGCAGGUACACCGACAUGUUCGUGCACAAUCUUAGCGCAGGCGUACCCAAAGGGGGAGAGAGAGACAGCAAACAGGGGACAAAAGGGAAUGGGCGACCCGAUAGAUGGGUAAGAAAAAGAGAGAAGGCAUAUCUGUUUGUGCUGCCUAAUAAAGAGGUGCUUGCGACUGCCCCCCGCCCCCAACAACGCUUCUGUUGGGCGUGUGCAGAUGACAACUGCGCACCUCUGCCUGGAAACGAGAGAGGGGAUACGCACUCUCUGCGUGUGUCUCAUGGGGCGAAUCUCUGGUAGUGUUUUUCGGACCUUUCUCUUCGCAGCUUUCAAACCGUGCACUUCCGCCCCGCCUGCGAGUUUUUUGCUCAGUGACCGUUGAUCUCCUUCUCCAGCUUCAUCGAGGCGCAUUUCCAUCACUACUUUGCUCCCUUUUUCGUUCGCUCCCGUGUCUUUGCGACGCGCGCAG